CUUAUUUUGAAUUUUGGUCUUUUGUCUUUGCUAUACAAAAUAUACAGGCUGAAGAGAUGUACAUGUAGAGUCAUUUCAAAGCAGAGGAGUUACAUGUGAGAUAAAAGAACACAUUCUCAAGCGACCAGUAACAUUGGUGUACAUAUUUUAUUCAGUUUAUUGCAGAAACAAAGCAAGUACAUAUAGAAACUUUUGUCAUCACAUGACCUCACUGAAACACGUCAGGAAGAUGCAUCGUUUUUGGAAGGAGAUGCUCCUAGAGGUAGUACAGUGGCAUACAUGAUUAAAACUGGACCUUUUUGAUUUCAUAAACUGAGUUAAAUAUGUCCCAAAACAUGUUUAGUUGCCAGUGGCAGAAAGCUUCUUAUGCUUCUGUUCUGCUGGUUGACCCAACAUAGACUGUUGUUAAAAAAUUAUAAGCCUUGGAAUCAAUUCUCUGGAGGGUCCCCAAAGCAUUUCCUGGAUGAUAAUGAUGCAAUAGUUUCCUAUCCUACUGAUGGUUGUCCCAGAGCACCUCAAAACAAGUGCUCCCAUUCCCUGAAAGCUGCUCAAGUACCAGUAUGCUGCUAUAAAUGGUUGAAAUGUGAUGCAGUUUCCCCUCCAACUUCCUCCAGCUCAGCCUAAUGGGGAUUAAGAGCCAUUAAAGGCUCUUUGCAGCAUAUGCAGUUGUUAUUGAUCAGUUGUUUUAGCCAAUGAUCUGAUUACAACCACCUUCUUUUUUUUUUUUUUUUUCUUUUUUUUUUCCCAGUGCUUUACUGGCAGAAACAUACAAACAUACAAUAAAAGGUAAGGAGUGGAGGUAACGGACCUUUCUGUGUGGGCCACAAAUUUGUUUAGUUAAUUUAGCUUGUUGCCAGGUCACCUCGGAACCUUCUCUUGUCCAGGCUGAACAGCCCCAGCUCUCUCAGCCUGUCCUCGUAGGAGAGGUGUCCCAUCCAUUGGAUCAUUUGUGUGGCCCUCCUCUGAACGUGCUCCAGCAGGUCUGUCUUUCUUCUGUAGUGAGGAUUUCACAUCUGGAUGCAGUACUCCAGGUGAGGCUUCACCAGAGCAGAGUAGGGGGUGGGAUCACCUCCCUCAACCUGUGGGCCACACUUCUUUUGAUGCAGCCCAGAUAUUGCUGGCUUACUGGGCUGUAAGGGUACAUUGCUGGCUUAUGUCCAACUUCCCAUCCACCAGUACCCUGUGGUCUUUUUCAGCAGGAUUGUGCUCAAUCCUUUCAUCCCUCAGCUUGUACUGGUAGUGGAUGUUGCCUCCACCUAGGUGCAAGACCUUGCAUUUGGAUUUGUUGAACCUCAUGAUGUUCAUCUGGGCCCACGGUUCAAGCCCGUUAGGUCCCUCUGAAUGGCAUCCUGUCCCUCAGGUGUAUCAACUGCAUCCUACAUAGAAUCAUCAGCAAACUUGCUGAGGGUGCACUUGACCCCACAGUCAAUGUCAUUGAUGAAGAUAUUAAAGAGAAUCGUUCCCAGCACUGACCCCUGAAGGACACCACUCAUCACUGAUCUCCAUCCAGACAUUGAGCCAUUGACCACCACUCUCUGGUCUCAAACCUACAGCCAGUUCUUCAUCCACUGAGCAAUCCACCCAUCAAAUCCACAUCUUUCCAAUUUGGAGAGAAGGAUGUUGUGGGGUACUGUGUCAAAGGCCUUACUGAAGUCCAGAGAGAUGAUAUUAGUGGUUCUUCCCUUGUCCAUUGAUGCAGUGACGCUAUCAUAAAAGGUCACUAGUUUGGUCAAGCAGGAAACAUCUGGGAUUGCCUCAACCCAAGUGGAACACCUUGCACUUGGCCUUAUUAAACCUUGUUAGAUUCUCAUGUGCACAAUUUUUGAGCAUGUCCAGGUCCCUCUGGAUGAUGUCUCUCUUUUCUAUUGUGUCGAAUGCACCACUCAGCCCUGUGUCAUCAUCAAACUUGGACUGAGAAGGCUGUUUUAGGAAGCCUGGGUCAAAAGAUAUUCCUGAACAUUCUGAUGGUCCUUUAUGAUCUCAUAAUUUACUUGGAAAAGAAAUCAGUAUUCAUUUGCCUGAUUGUGACAGUCUUUCUGUAUACAGUGGCAGUGCAGGUGUAGCACACUGGCUCUCUUGUUCAAAGCAACAGAACUACUGAUAACUCACAGUUUCAAAGUGCAAACAGGCGUUGCAUUUAAGAGAAUAGUUUUAACAGCUCAUACCUGUGUUCCAGGAUGCACAGGGUUUGCUUUCUCUUUGUAACUGGACAGGAAAUGCAACAUAGGUUUGUUUAACAUUUCUUUCUUCCAGAUUUAAAUCAUGUUGGAGAGAAGUCCUUCACAAACAAAACCAGAAAUUUACUCAACUAUUAGGAUGCGUCCCUACUUAGACUGGCUCUGUGAAUCUCUCAAGAGAUGGCCCAGAAUAGGAAUAUACAGAGCUUCUCCACAGAGAUGGCAUCCCCUCCCCCCGACAGCUCCCAGCAUCCUCAUUCUGCGGCUACCCACCACCUGAUGUCCUAUUUUCUCAUUGGCUUGAGCUGUUCCCAAACCUUGUGACUCCUGCGAGCUCACGCCCAGAUGUACCAGCUCCGAGUCUCCUGCAGUGAGACAUAAUCUUCACUUCAACUUCUAUCAUUUGUUCCAAAUAUACCAAAGCAUCUGAACAAGUGCUUGCAUUCAUCCCCUGAGCCCCCCGUCCUAGGUUCAGCCUGGAGGUCACCAUGGAAAUAAAUGCGCUCCUCAGCUCGUUGAUGUGGCACACAGCUCUGUUACAAGAUCUCCGCUACUUGCAGAGGACUGUAACCCAUAUCAUCACAUCUGAGACAGAGAUUUUAUAUUCAGAUGACCUUUUAUUUCCGGAAAUUAUAAGUACUGUCUCACCCUACAUCUGCUGUUCAAGUAAAAGUCAUGAGACCGAUUAAGUUUCUCAAUGGGAUUUCCCUGUGGGUAUAAAGCCAGGUGACUGUGACAAGGUCACUAGGAAAACAGUCUUGUGAUUUUAAGCUUGACAGAAAUCUGGCAGGAAGUGCAGAUGAGAGAAAUGUCACACUUAGGCAAUGAUAACCUUAAAUAUCAGAGACUGAGCUCAGAAAUGUUUUUUUUUCAGAUCAUCAGAAGGGUUCAUGAAAUAUGUCUGUUUGUUCAUUCCUCCAGGAGACCCUCUCUGUUCUUACAUCUCAGUGUGUUAUGAUAAAUAAUGCAUUGCCUUCCCAAUAGCAUUGAUAAAACUGCUUCCUUAACCAUACGAAGAGUACAUUUCAAAAAGAGAACAAGCAGAGCACAGAGAUGGAAAUUAACCCCAGGACCGCCAGCCUCCAUUAGCAAUAAUGGUGUCUGACAAUUCCGGGGUUAAAUGAGAAGUAGGUGCCUUUUUACUGAGUUCUGCUCUUUGUUCUUGCUUUAGUGCGUGUCAUUGUGGAGACUGUCAUGUAAGGUUAAUGACAGCCUCUCAUUACCCUUGUCAAAUAUGUAAUAAUGUGGCCCAACAACAGGGCUGAAUGGCUCCUGCUUGUCAGACCCCUAUGUUUUGCCUAGCAGAUGGUCACUGUGUUUGGAGAGGCCCUCAGAUCCAUCAGUGCUAUCCUGAACACGUGUAUGAGGGCGGCAUUUUUCCCUGAUGGGACAGCUUGUGGACGGAAUACUAAUUGGGCACAGCAAGACAACUGGGGAUUUAUUUAUUUUUACUCCUGGUAGAAAUAUGUUGUGUUCCAGGGAGGGGAGGGGUGGGGAGAGAUGCGAAACCCCACUUCUCCCACUGCCAGCCCGUUCUUAUUGUCUAACUCCUUAGACUGGCAAAAUCUCCACGUGUUAUAACUUAAGCUGAAAAUCUGGACUUCUCAGCUGCAGUCCCAUUGGGCAUAGAAAUUCAGACUUCAGUCAACUUUUGAUUCUACAUUUAGAAAAUCUGGCUUCUAUUCUUCUACCUACUGAAAAAAAAUAAAGGCAAAGAUAUUGCUUAUAGGUAAUAAGCUUUGGAGAGCAUCAUGUUAACAUAUCCCCUUGAUAUUUCCUCCCUAGUUAUUAAGAUUAAAUAUUUAUAUCGUGGUAUCUGACCCUCCUGAGUUAGGUAGUGUGCCAACAGAAAAUAUCUGUUCCUACUCAGGGGAACAUAACCCCCUUUUGCACUAUGCUGGUGGUGUGAAGGGCAGUCAUUUGUACCUGUGGAGAUAUCAGCAGGCUACUCUGAAAGUUGGUAUAUUCAGCCUUUGACCAUACGCCCACACCUAUUAAACAGAGGGUCCUUGCAGCAGAAACACUCCUCAAAGGUUUGGGCUGGGGCUGCCACAGUCAAGCAGAGAAUUUUCAUUUUUGAUUUAUUUUACUUUCUUUCAAAAACAUUUUAACUCUUUGUUGUUCAAAAUGCAAUCUUUGAAAUGUAGAAUGAAAAGCCAUGUAAUAUUUUUCCCCAUUUGGGAAACUUUGCACUAAGAAACUCCGUUGUUCUUUGUUGAAAAUGCCUAACAUGAGCAACCUGCACAGACAUAAAAUAAUGUGGUUAGGUACAAUUCAUCUACAUCAGGGAGUGGGAUUGAUGUAACUAAAAUUAGGGCAGUUAUAAUGGUGCAAAUGUUCUUAAUGUAGACAAUACCUCAGUCUGCAGAACAUGAAAAAUUGGUUCUAAAAAGAAUAAUCAGACCUAUUUGUUUCAGAGGGAUGUUAACACUGAAACUUAAAUAUAGCAGCAUACAGAUCAACAUGGUUAACUACUUCACUGCUAAGCCUUAUAAUGGAGAUAUUCUAUAUCAUACAUGGUUUUUCUUUGAUUUUCCUAAGAAUUAGAUUAAAAUAAUGUAAUAGAAAAAUAACAGUAGGAAAGUGCAUUGGUUGCCUUAUUUUACUGUGCAUUAAAAUUAUUGGUUGCAAAAUGCAAUGAAGUUUCUGCAACAUUCCUUCAUCAGCAGUGCAGAAUUGAAAUCUUUAGUAGCAGUUUGUUGUAGAAUUCAUACAGCCAAGCCUAUUACAGGCCAGGAACAAAAAUUGAGUCAGAAAGAAUAUUUGCUUUUGUCUUUCCCAGUGGAAAGACAUGGAAUUCUUACAUGGAAAAUCUUAAUGUUUGUGGAGCUUAGGCAAAACAAAACAAAACAAAACAAAACAAACAAAACAAAAAACACACCUAAGAGCUAUCACUAAGAAUGCCUAAAGUCUUUUUACCCUAACUUUUCAAAUCUCAGUGAUACCUUACCUUUUUGGCAAGGUACUCAGCUCUGGAGCAGAUGCAUUCCGUGCUGAAGCAGGGAUGCCCUUGGCUGGUUGAAUGGUAACCCUGUCAGGGAGCAGCUGUUAGGUGCCAUUGUUCUCUGUGUCGCAAUGGCAUUCUGACACCAUGGGGGCCAUGGUCUCCACUAGUCAGAAAGUUCUGGCAAGAAAGAAUGUGGCAACUCAGACAGAGUGCCCACCUAAAAGUAUGGCCGUUCAAGUCUCCAGCUGCAGCAAGUUCCUGAGCGUGCUGCUGCUGGUGAAGGGCAGCAUGGAUUCCAUCUGUGUGAGGUGUGAGCAGGUGGACAAUCUGCUCAGUAUGGUGGUGAAGCUCAAGGAGGAGGUGGAGAGAUUACGGAGUAUCAGAGAGUGUGAGCAGGAAAUCGAUUUGUGGGGUAAUUCUCUGCUGAACUUGCAGAAAAGACACAAGGGUGAUACACCCCAAACAGUGGUGAGCUCCCUCCCCUGUCAGUAUUGGGUAGAGGGAGGUGAUUUGAGAGAAGAGGAGGAGUGGAAAGAGGUCCCAGUUUGGUGUCGUGGGCAACCCCCAUCCUGACCUACACUGGUUCUCCAGGUGUCCCUACAUAACAGGUUUGAGGCGCUUUAACUUGAGGGAAAGGUGAGGGAGGACAUGGUGGGAGGUCCCCCUGCAAGGUUGUCUGGAGUAAGGUGGUUGACUCUAUACCUCAAGACUGCCUCCGCCAAGGACAGAAAGAUGAUUGUCAGAGGUGACUCCCUGCUGAGAGGUAUGGAAGGCCCUGUAUAUCAGCCAGACCCUACCCACAGGGAAGUGCACUGCCUCCCUGGGGCCUGGGUCAGGGAUAUUUCUAGGAAACUUCCUAGUCUGAUUCACCUCUCUGAUUAUUAUCCUUUAUUGACAAUUCAGGCUGGCAGCAACAAAGUCCCUAAGAGAAGCCUGAGGAUUAUCUAAAAGAACUUCAGGGGUCUGGGAGAGUUAGUGGAUGGAGAGAGCAUACAGGUCGUAUUUUCCUCUAUCCCUCCAGUGGCAGGGAGGGAUACUGAGAGGAGCAGGAAAACCCAUCUCAUAAAUACAUGGCUGAGAGUCCGAUGCUAUCAGAAGAUUAUUUAUUUAUUUAUUUAUUUAUUGACAAUGGGGUGGUUUACUCGGUACCUGUCCUGAUGUCUGCUGAUGAUUCUUACCUGUCUCAAAGGGGGAAAUGGAUCCUAGCCCAGGAGCUGGCAGGACUCAUUGAAAGGGUUUUAAACUAAAUAUGAAGGUGAAAGGGGAUAAAACCAGGCCAGCUAGAAAUGAGCCUAGGGGAACAGUAAUGGGAUUGAGGGUGAGGCAAGGGGCUCAGCUGAAGUGCAUCUACACCAAUGCAUACAGCAUGGACAAAAAAUAGGAGGGGCAGGAAGCUGUUGUGUGGCAAGGAAACUAUGACUUAGUUGCUGUUAUGGAAACAUAGUGGGAUUGCUUCCAUGACUGGAGUACUGCAAUGGAUGGCUAUAAGCUCUUCGGAAGGCAUAGGCAAGGAAGGAAGGGUGAUGGUGUGGCCUGGAGAGAGUUUUGAUGUUGUUGAGCUUAGGGCUGAGAAUGAUAAAGUUGAAUCUCUAUGGGUAAGGAUCAGGAGGAAGGCCAACAAGGCAGACAUCCUGGUGGGGGUCUGUUAUAGAUCACAUAACCAGGAUGAAGCGACAGAUGCUCUAUGAGCAGCUGGCAGAAGUUAUGCAAUCACCAGCCCUUGUCUUCAUGGGGGAUUUCAACUUCCCUGAUGUAUGCUGGAAAUAAAUACAGUGCAGAAGAAACAGUCUAGGAGGUUUCUACAGUGUACGGAAGAUAACUUCUUGAUGCAGCUGGUAAGAGACCCUACCAAGGAAGGUACCCUGCUUGACCUGCUGUUCACAAACAGGGAAGGACUCGUGGGAGAUCUGAAGGUCGGGAGCUGUCCUGGAAGGAGUGACCACGAAACAGUAAAGUUCUCGAUUCUUGGUGAAGUCACAAGGGGGCCCAGCAAAACUGCUGCCUUGGACUUCUGGAAGGUGAGCACUGAACUGUUCAGGACACUGGUGAGGAG
ensembl:lncRNA